AAAAUGAAAGCAGGUUGUUUUGGAGAGGGAAGAGCAGCUGUUUCGCUACUCAACAUCACUACAACUUCUGACAUAGUUGGUCUGUCCACAGCAUUUUCUGUAACACAUAAGAGCCCAAUUUGAGUGCAUCUCAGGGCUUCUUGGGGAGGAUAUGAUCCUUCUAGUGAUGAAUCAACCAUCUCCAACACUCUUUGUUCUUCCCAUAACUUCCACAUAUGUCCUAUCAAGCUCAAGCAAGAAUCCUCUUGGUAAAACCCAGUGCUCUUCUUGCCACUCACUAUCUCCAAUAAUAUGAUGCCAAAACUAAACACAUCAGAUUUUAUUGAA
rnacentral:misc_RNA from 1 species